ACAACGAACGUUUGACGGCGUGGAUUAGGCAUGCAAGUCGAACGAAGCUAGUCUAUGUAGCAAUACAUGGGCUAGACUGAGUGGCGAAAGGGGCAGUAAUGCGUGGAUAACCUACCCCGGGGAUGGGGAUAGCCAUUCUAACGAGUGGGUAAUACCCGGCGAUGCAGCGAGAUCGCAUGGUUUUGCUGUGAAACGAAUUUCGCCUCGGGAGGGGUUCACGUGCUAUUAGCUUGUUGGUGGGGUAACGGCCUACCAAGGCAAAGAUGGCUAGCGGGUGUGAGAGCACGACCCGCGCCACUGGCACUGAGACACUGGCCAGACUCCUACGGGAGGCUGCAGUCGAGGAUCUUCGGCAAUGGGCGCAAGCCUGACCGAGCGACGCCGCGUGCGCGAUGAAGGCCUUCGGGUUGUAAAGCGCUGUCGAGGGGGAGGAAGCCGAAAGGUUGACCUAUCCCUGGAGGAAGCACGGGCUAAGUUCGUGCCAGCAGCCGCGGUAAGACGAACCGUGCAAACGUUGUUCGGAAUCACUGGGCUUAAAGGGCGCGUAGGCGGGAGACCAAGUCCGGGGUGAAAUCUUUCGGCUCAACCGGAAAACUGCCUUGGAUACUGGUCUUCUUGAGGGAGGUAGGGGCAGGUGGAACUUCCGGUGGAGCGGUGAAAUGCGUUGAUAUCGGAAGGAACGCCGGUGGCGAAAGCGGCCUGCUGGAUCUCUUCUGACGCUGAGGCGCGAAAGCUAGGGGAGCGAACGGGAUUAGAUACCCCGGUAGUCCUAGCCCUAAACGAUGGGUACUAGGUUGCGGACUUGACAUGAGUUCGCAGCCGAAGCAAAAGUGUUAAGUACCCCGCCUGGGGAGUAUGGUCGCAAGGCUGAAACUCAAAGGAAUUGACGGGGGCUCACACAAGCGGUGGAGCAUGUGGCUUAAUUCGAGGCUACGCGAAGAACCUUAUCCUAGUCUUGACAUGCUUGGGAACCCUCUGGAAACAGAGGGGUGCCCUUCGGGGAGCCCUUGCACAGGUGCUGCAUGGCUGUCGUCAGCUCGUGUCGUGAGAUGUCGCGUUAAGUCGCUUAACGAGCGAAACCCUUGUCCUUAGUUGCCAGCGCGUAAUGGCGGGGACUCUAAGGAGACUGCCGGUGUUAAACCGGAGGAAGGUGGGGAUGACGUCAAGUCCUCAUGGCCUUUAUGAUUAGGGCUGCACACGUCCUACAAUGCCGCGUACAAAGGGAAGCAAGACCGCGAGGUGGAGCAAAUCCCAAAAAGCGCGGCCCAGUUCGGAUUGCAGGCUGCAACCCGCCUGCAUGAAGCCGGAAUCGCUAGUAAUCGCGGUCACAUACCGCGUGAUACUCCUAGCAUCCUCAC
rnacentral:rRNA from 1 species